rnacentral:rRNA from 1 species
AACGAACGCUGGCGGCAUGCCUAACACAUGCAAGUCGAACGAGACCUUCGGGUCUAGUGGCGCACGGGUGCGUAACGCGUGGGAACCUGCCCUUAGGUUCGGAAUAACUCCCCGAAAGGGGUGCUAAUACCGGAUAAUGUCUUCGGACCAAAGAUUUAUCGCCUUUGGAUGGGCCCGCGUUGGAUUAGCUAGUUGGUAGGGUAAAAGCCUACCAAGGCGACGAUCCAUAGCUGGUCUGAGAGGAUGAUCAGCCACACUGGACUGAGACACGGCCCAGACUCCUACGGGAGGCAGCAGUGGGGAAUAUUGGACAAUGGGCGAAAGCCUGAUCCAGCAAUGCCGCGUGAGUGAUGAAGGCCUUAGGGUUGUAAAGCUCUUUUACCCGGGAUGAUAAUGACAGUACCGGGAGAAUAAGCUCCGGCUAACUCCGU